ACCCAACAGCUAGCUUACACCAAAUGUCAACAUAUAACUAUUUAUAACCUUAUUACACCCCUUACCAAUUAAACUAAACCAUUUUUCCCCCUAAGUACAGGCGAUAGAAAAGGGACCUAAAUUUUAAAAGCUAUAGAAAAAGUACCGCAAGGGAAAGCUGAAAGAGAAAUGAAAAAAUUCAGUAAAGUACUAAAAAGCAGAGACUAGCCCUCGUACCUUUCGCAUCAUGACUUAACAAGAAUACUUUAAGCAAAAAGACCUCUAGUUUAACCCCCCGAAAUCAAGUGAGCUACUCCGAGGCAGCCUAAAAUAGGGCAAACACGUCUCUGUGGCAAAAGAGUGUGAAGAACUCCGAGUAGAGGUGAUAAACCUACCGAACUUGAUGAUAGCUGGUUUCCUAAGAAACGAAUAGAAGUUCGGCCUUUAUUUAUCUUAAAUCAACUCAAACACUACAAGAUUAAAGAUGUACAAAGAGUUAUUUAUAAGGGGUACAGCCCUUAUAAAAUAAGAAACAGCUUUAAAGGUAGGAUAAAGAUCAUACAAACCAAGGCUCAUGUUUCAGUAGGCCUAAAAGCAGCCACCCAUAAAAAAGCGUUAAAGCUUAAACAUUUCCUCCCCCGCAAUACCGACACACAAUCUUAUUCCCCCAGCUUUAUUAGGAUAUUCUAUAACACAUGGAAGAAAUAAUGUUAAUAUGAGUAAUAAGAGAUAUUCAACCUCUCCCCGCACAAGUGUAUAUCGGAACGGAAACGCCACCGAAAAUUAACCGUCCCCUAUAAAAGAGGGCAUUGAACCAUAAAAAGAAAACUAGAAAAAACUUCAGACCAAGACGUUACCCCCACACAGGAGUGCAUAUAAGGAAAGACUAAGAGAAGAGGAAGGAACUCGGCAAAUAUAACUCAAGCCCCGCCUGUUUACCAAAAACAUCACCUCUUGACACCCGCGCAUAAGAGGCCCCGCCUGCCCUGUGAUUAACAUUUAACGGCCGCGGUAUUUUGACCGUGCAAAGGUAGCGCAAUCAAUUGUCUUUUAAAUGAAGACCUGUAUGAAUGGCGUAACGAGGGCUUAGCUGUCUCCCCUUUCAGGUCAAUGAAAUUGAUCUCCCCGUGCAGAAGCGGGGAUAGUAACAUAAGACGAGAAGACCCUAUGGAGCUUAAAACGCAAGAACAGAUCAAAUAAUUAUUCUAAUUUAACAAGACAUAAACAACCGACCUCUGUUCUAAUGUUUUUGGUUGGGGCGACCGCGGGGCAAAAUGGACCCCCCGUGCAGAAUGAAAACACAACAUCCUCUUAUUUAAAGGCAACAGCCUUAGAAAUCAGAACUUCUGACUAACAGAUCCGGAUAGCCGAUUAACGAACUAAGUUACCCUAGGGAUAACAGCGCAAUCCUCUUUUAGAGCCCAUAUCGACAAGAGGGUUUACGACCUCGAUGUUGGACCAGGACAUCCUAAUGGUGCAGCCGCUAUUAAUGGUUCGUUUGUUCAACGAUUAAAGUCCUACGUGAUCUGAGUUCAGACCGGAGCAAUCCAGGUCAGUUUCUAUCUAUGAAAUGUUUUUCCCUAGUACGAAAGGACCGAGAAAAAAAGGCCAAUGCUUAAAGUAAGCCCUCCCCUAACUCAAUGAAUCCAACUAAAUUGAAUAACAGGACAUAACCCGCAAGCAGAGAUAAUGCUAU
rnacentral:rRNA from 1 species